CUCUCCCUGACAACAGUGGAUAAACACUGCUGUUUCCCCAUCUGCUCCGACACCAUGCAGUAUCAGACUUUUUGAUCUUGGGAUCACACCGGCCAAGGCCUGAUUGGAGACGCCUGGGACCCUGCCGAGCUAGCCGGCCCCUCAACCCUGGCCGCAGCCACGACUCCGAGCGCUGCUCCUUCUUUUUCUGCACUUUCCUUUCUCCCCCACAAGCUUCUGAUUCUUGGAACCAGGCUUGGUGACCUCACGCGAGUGACUUCAUAUCCGGGACUUUCUGGGAAUUCUCAGCAGCACUUUUUCGCCGCCAUCUUCAACCAACUGGACUGAGUCUUCUGUCAUUCGGGUCACCUCCGCUGAGACGCCUUCCCUGACCACCCAAGUUGAAGGAACUGCCAACAUUUCCCUCUUGGACUUUGUGUUUUAUUUCCUUCACAGUAUUUCUCCCCUCUAAAAUUAUCUUGUCUGCUUCUACCUAUAUUGUCUUCCCUCUUGAAACCGAAGUUCCAUAAGCUGAGGCAGAAAUUCUGCCUUGUUCAUCUCUGUUGUCAGCACCCUGAACAGAGCCUGGCAUGAAUGAGGUGCUCAAUAAAAGUUACUUGGAUGAAUCGGCA